GAUCCAGCCUGGUGGAGGCUCUGGUCAUUUCCAACCCGGUGGAGGCUCUGUUCAGUGCCAGCCUGCUGGGGGUUC
rnacentral:tRNA from 1 species